UACGUAGGGUGCAAGCGUUGUCCGGAAUUAUUGGGCGUAAAGAGCUCGUAGGCGGUUUGUCACGUCGGAUGUGAAACCCUGAGGCUCAACCUCAGGCCUGCAUUCGAUACGGGCAGACUAGAAUUCGGCAGGGGAGACUGGAAUUCCUGGUGUAGCGGUGAAAUGCGCAGAUAUCAGGAGGAACACCAAUGGCGAAGGCAGCUCGCUGGGACGGUACUGACGCUGAGGUGCGAAAGCGUGGUGAGCGAACAGG
rnacentral:rRNA from 1 species